rnacentral:rRNA from 1 species
GACGAACGCUGGCGGCGUGCCUAAUACAUGCAAGUAGAACGCACAGUUUAUACCGUAGCUUGCUACACCAUAGACUGUGAGUUGCGAACGGGUGAGUAACGCGUAGGUAACCUGCCUGGUAGCGGGGGAUAACUAUUGGAAACGAUAGCUAAUACCGCAUAAUAUUAAUUAUUGCAUGAUAAUUAAUUGAAAGGUACAAUUGCACCACUACCAGAUGGACCUGCGUUGUAUUAGCUAGUAGGUGAGGUAACGGCUCACCUAGGCGACGAUACAUAGCCGACCUGAGAGGGUGAUCGGCCACACUGGGACUGAGACACGGCCCAGACUCCUACGGGAGGCAGCAGUAGGGAAUCUUCGGCAAUGGACGAAAGUCUGACCGAGCAACGCCGCGUGAGUGAAGAAGGUUUUCGGAUCGUAAAGCUCUGUUGUAAGAGAAGAACGGGUGUGAGAGUGGAAAGUUCACACUGUGACGGUAUCUUACCAGAAAGGGACGGCUAACUACGUG